UCAGUUCGGAUUGGAGUCUGCAACCCGACUCCAUGAAGCUGGAUUCGCUAGUAAUCGCGCAUCAGCCACGGCGCGGUGAAUACGUUUCCGGGGCCUUGUACACACCGCCCGUCAAGCCAUGGAAGCCGGGAGUGCCUGAAGUGCGUGACCGCAAGGAGCGUCCUAAGGCAAUACCGGUGACUGGGGCUAAGUCGUAACAAGGUACC
rnacentral:rRNA from 1 species